GCCUGCAUGGCAUAGUGGUUUGAAAGUUGGACUGCAACUCUGGAGACCAGGGUUCGAUUCCCUGCCGGGCC
rnacentral:tRNA from 1 species